ACCAGCCACACUGGGACUGAGACACGGCCCAGACUCCUACGGGAGGCAGCAGUGGGGAAUUUUGGACAAUGGGCGCAAGCCUGAUCCAGCAAUGCCGCGUGAGUGAAGAAGGCCUUCGGGUUGUAAAGCUCUUUCAGUCGAGAAGAAAAGACUGCAGCGAAUAACUGCGGUUUAUGACGGUAUCGACAGAAGAAGCACCGGCUAACUACGUGCCAGCAGCCGCGGUAAUACGUAGGGUGCGAGCGUUAAUCGGAAUUACUGGGCGUAAAGGGUGCGCAGGCGGUUUUGUAAGUCAGAUGUGAAAUCCCCGGGCUUAACCUGGGAAUU
rnacentral:rRNA from 1 species